CCCUCUCAGGUUCUGGUGACUGGCUGACCUCCCCUCUCCCCCUCAGAGGCCCAAGAGCAGCAGAGGGAGGUCAAGCAACCUUGCACCGAGGACUCAUGGCCAUGAACUUUCAAGAAAACGUGACACUGGCCAUCGCCGUGUUCACCAUCCUGGCCUCCAUCUACUUCUUCAACAAGGCUCAGCGAUGAGAAAGAGAAGACACAGGACAGCUUAAUCCAAGAGCCCUGCCUCUGCCCCGACCAUGACUCUGGCCUCUGAGACCUAAUAAAUGUGACUGAGUCAGCACA